AUCUGAGGCAGUUGCUCUCAUUGAAUUUUAACCUGUCAUCAUCUGUGCCAGCCCAUGCUGCAGAGACCCACAGGGGGAGUAUGAGCUUCUCCCUUCCGACACGGAGCAACCUCAGGCAGAGCAAAGAGGUGCCUUCUUCUUUGUGGCUCACCCCACUGAACAUGCCCAGCUGUCAAGAUACACCAGACUGUGAAUGAAUCGGCAGCUGCACAAAUUACUUAAAAAGAAGAAUUUGCCACCAGAGCAAGAAGCUGUGAAGUCUGCAAAACAAUUCUCCCUUGUGUAUUUAAACAUGAGUAGACAAACUGCACAGUACAUCUCUGACAGAGAAGCUGACAGAGAAGCUGAGCCUAAAAAGCAAAGAGAGCACAUCUUUUACAAUGUGGUGAUGCACAGGUGGGAGAAAGGCCU
rnacentral:lncRNA from 1 species